CCCUCUGGGGCGCACCAGUCAAAGAAUCCCACCCGUUCCGUUUUGAUUGCAAGGAUCGGCCCGUAGAAGACAACAUGCUUCUCCCACAGGUGGUGGGUGCGGAGAAUAUACGCAAGUAUUCCGUAGGCUGCAAUGAUUAAGGCAAGGACAAGGAGCCAGUCCAUCACAAGCUAUGGCAUUUAUAAAAUGAUAAAACACGCCCUAGAGGAGGGGGGAACAGACCUUUUAUUUUUGAUGGCCCCCUCGGGUUCAGAAAUCGAGCAGACUUUUCUGGUGUUUUCUUGCUAUGAUUGCGCUCACCGUCUUCCAGCUCUUCCGGGCAAUUGGCGGGAGGGC
rnacentral:rRNA from 1 species